UGGACCAAUGAUGAGAUUGGAGGGUGUCUGAAUCAAGAAAAUUGAUUAAUGCCAUCUACAAUUCUGAGGUCCUU